rnacentral:rRNA from 1 species
UUGUUCUAUAAUCGAUAAUCCGCGUUAAAUCUUACUUAUUUUAUUUAAUUUGUAUAUCGUUGUCAUUAGAAUAUUUUAUAAGAAAAAUAAUUUUCUUUAAAUUAAAAUAAAUUUAUAUGUCAAAUCAAGGUGCAGUGUAUAUUUAAGUAGAAAUGAAUUACAAUAAGAUUUAAUUAAAUGAAUAAAUAAUUGAAAUAUUAUUUUGAAAGUGGAUUUGAUAGUAAAAUUAAUUAGACUGUUAAUUUGAUUAUAGCUCUAAAAUAUGUACA